UCAGCAGUGAAAUGACCUUGAGUGAACUUCAGAGAGAUUAGCUGGAAGAAAGGAUUAAACACAUUUAUGUGAGUGCAGUGCAGAGAGGAAUGGAGGGUGAGCGAGGUGGCAUUGUCUCCACGAAUCCAGUGGCCACCUGGUGCAUGAAGUGUGAGCAGCAAGACCCUAGAUACUCACCUUACACCUUGGUGCGGAUAACAGAGGCAGAGAUGAGGGCGUAUCACCAUUUCCUAGGAGGUUGCAUCAGGCUAGAAUAUAUUGCAAAACAAGCACUGCCAUUGCCCAAAUCCUUCCUGCACUCUGAAGCAGUGUGUCUCCCGGAUGCCAGCCAUGGCACAGCCCACGAACUGACAUAGCAUUCAGAUGCUGUCACCUUUUCUCUUGAAGACAUAGACCAAGAGAUGUGGAGUAUUUCCUGGGCCUGAACAGCGUUAAGAGAAUAGAUGUUUAGGGCUACCUUGAGCCCUGCCAGCACUGAGCUCUGGAUCACAAGUGACUGAGGCUCUCAGGUGUUCUUUAACACAUGUGUUUAUGGGAGGGAGGGUUGUAAUAUGUGGAGCCCUCAAAAGUGAGGGCCUGGACCAGGGGCCGCAAGGAAACUUUCUAUGGGGAUGGAAAUGUUGCAUAUCUUGAUCUGUUUGAUGGUUCCAUCAGUGUAUAUGUUUGUCAAAAUUCAUCAAGCUGUUCACUUAAGAUUUGUGCAUUUGUGCAUGUGAAUUAUACUUCAAUAAAGGGCUGUUAGCAUAAAGGA